CUCUCGGACGGCCUCCCAGCUUCUGGCAAUUUCCUGUGAUGCAUUCUCCACCCCCCUGCCACAGAAAUCUUCCUCACACAUACCUCUGUCCUUGACGCACCCCUACUUCCCACCCUUUACUUCCACCGUCUCUCCAUCAAACCCAAACUCCACAUGGGACCCAAGGCUCUUUGUGACCUGGCGCAGUGCACCCAGGCCAGCUUUCUCCCCUGCUCCUUAGGUCCCCACUUUACCGAAUCACACGGAGUGGAGGACUCAAAAUUUUGAGGACUCAAAAUUGUGCUCGCCUCACAAUUUUGUACGUGUUGCUCCACCAGCUCCCAUUGUCCCCCUCCCUCCUCAUCAGCCUCUCACCCCUGCACACAUUCUCUCUUUGGGUCUGGUCACAAGGCACAGCAGCUCCCAGGAACGUCACAGAGGCUACGGGACUAGAGAAUGGCUAUGUGGAGGCCCCAACUCCGGUACCUGAGUGCAGCCUAGUCGGAGACAGUCAGCAGGUGAUCUCAAGAGAAACCUGCUGCUAGAUAGAAGGGCAGGGGUGGGUAGAGGGCAUGGGACAAGAGAAGCAGAGGACAAGAAGCAGAGGAGGAGGAGAGACGCUUGUUGCUGCAAAUGGCAGAGUCAACUGGAGGGAGAACCAGAGUUGCCACUUCUGAGCGAGAGAAGACUGAGCAGGUCACCAGGAUUGCUUUUGAAUUCCAAACCAGCAAGGAACCUUUCCUGAUUCAGUUUUGGGUUCCUCAUGGGGUCUUACUCUGCAGCGCUGAGAUGCUUUCUUGCCUUCCUUUGUAUAU